GUUAGUACUCUGAAGAGACAGUCAGACUGGGAGCACAGGUCCCUCUAGGUUUUUGAACAGAAUCCCUCUGAAAUCCAUAUCCCAAAUGCAAAUAAGAAGUUUAUCUCUCCGUGUUUGUAUUUUUGUGUGUGCAUGUGUGCAUAGCAGAGAUAUAAAGAAGGCAUGGUAAGGAGACAUUCCUCCAGCUCAGAAACAGGAGCUGUAGGGUAGCAAGAAAUGUAGGAGGAACUUUCCCUAAAAGGAUGUCAGGGAUUAAUUGAGAAGCAGUCAAUGCUGGAUAUUUCUUCCUGGAGACCUGUCCUUUGGAAGACUCUCUCACGUGAUGGUGCCUGCUACGGGAAAACAAAAGGCGUUUCCAUUCCGGGCGCAGCUCUGAGAGCGGCCGCAGGCGGGAGGUGUUGACGAGCCGUGUGCGCGGGGCUGCGCUCCCGUUCUACUCGAGCGCCUGCUCUGCCAUCGCGGCGGAUCCGUGAUCCCGGGCCGAGCACCUCGUACAUCGCACAGCUGAAGGUGGACUGAAGCAAAUUGUGGCACUGGAAUUGCAAAGAUGCAGCUGGAUCCCAAAACCCUGCUGAACACAGGAACAUUGGAACCUGUGGAGACUGAAAAAUGGCAAGACAGAGGAGUCAAGGAUUGAUGAAUAUCUCCCAGGAGGGCCAAGGUCUAAAUGUAACAGCCAGAGGCAAGCCACAAACAUUGGAAGAGAAGAGCUGACAUGGAGCACCAACCUUGCCAGUGUUAGGGAGGAAAAAAAAGGAAAAUGGGAAAAAAGGAAAAAUGGAGAAAAGGAAGAAAGCCUGCAUUGGACCUGCUUUUUGAAUUUGAGACCAUCCCAGAAAACAGAGCAGAACUGUUCUGGGUCCACAUCAAAAAGGAGCAAAAUGGAGAUGGAAUCCAUCUAUAUAAGAGGAUUGGGA
rnacentral:lncRNA from 1 species